rnacentral:tRNA from 1 species
GCCGGGGUGGCAGAGUGGACUAAUGCGCCAGCCUGGAGAGCUGGUGCCCCUUUCAGGGGCGCAAGGGUUCAACUCCCUUCCCCGGCG